UAUGGCUCAGAGUGAACGCUGGCGGCAGGGGUAACACAUGCAAGUCGAACGGCAGCACAGAGGAGCUUGCUCCUUGGGUGGCGAGUGGCGGACGGGUGAGGAAUACGUCGGAAUCUGCCUAUUUGUGGGGGAUAACGUAGGGAAACUUACGCUAAUACCGCAUACGACCUACGGGUGAAAGCGGAGGACCUUCGGGCUUCGCGCAGAUAGAUGAGCCGACGUCGGAUUAGCUAGUUGGCGGGGUAAAGGCCCACCAAGGCGACGAUCCGUAGCUGGUCUGAGAGGAUGAUCAGCCACACUGGAACUGAGACACGGUCCAGACUCCUACGGGAGGCAGCAGUGGGGAAUAUUGGACAAUGGGCGCAAGCCUGAUCCAGCCAUGCCGCGUGUGUGAAGAAGGCCUUCGGGUUGUAAAGCACUUUUGUCCGGAAAGAAAAGCCUUGGGUUAAUACCCUGAGGUCAUGACGGUACCGGAAGAAUAAGCACCGGCUAACUUCGUGCCAGCAGCCGCGGUAAUACGAAGGGUGCAAGCGUUACUCGGAAUUACUGGGCGUAAAGCGUGCGUAGGUGGUUUGUUAAGUCUGAUGUGAAAGCCCUGGGCUCAACCUGGGAAUGGCAUUGGAAACUGGCUGACUAGAGUGCGGUAGAGGGUAGUGGAAUUCCCGGUGUAGCAGUGAAAUGCGUAGAUAUCGGGAGGAACAUCUGUGGCGAAGGCGACUACCUGGACCAGCACUGACACUGAGGCACGAAAGCGUGGGGAGCAAACAGGAUUA
rnacentral:rRNA from 1 species